rnacentral:rRNA from 1 species
CGCGUAGGUGGUUUGGUCAGUCAGAUGUGAAAGCCCCGGGCUCAACCUGGGAACUGCACCUGAUACUGCCAAACUAGAGUACGGUAGAGGGAAGUGGAAUUUCCGGCGUAGCGGUGAAAUGCGUAGAGAUCGGAAGGAACACCAGUGGCGAAGGCGACUUCCUGGACUGAUACUGACACUGAGGUGCGAAAGCGUGGGGAGCAAACA